AUACUUACCUGGUAGGUGAAAUAUCAUGAUUGUGAAGGUGGUUUUUCCAGAGACCAAGGCUUAUCUAUUUCACUUCAGAUGUGCAGCCCCUGCAAUUUCCCCAAAUGUAGGAAAUUUGCAUAACUGUGGUAGUGGGGGACUGUGCUCAUGCUUUCCCCUG